UCUGCAUAUAAAAGGUCUAUGCUCAUGAAAAAUGUAGCACAUUUACCAUGACAGUCAGAUUUUUUAUUUUUUUUGCCACCGAAGGGAUUGGUCAUAAUAUUGACCAGGAGACAAGAGUACAAUAAUAUGAGUGAGAUGGGGAGAGAACCAAGAGUGACUUGAUCUACCAGCAGAUGUGGUCAAUGGCUGUUUCUCUGUAAGCCUUCUAUUUAAUUAUGAGACGGGUCCCUGUGUUUGUACAAUGCAAAAUGUUGAAGAUUUCUUAGCUCGAGCUGUGACAUCAUGAGCAGCGAUUAGAUUGCCUCUUGAUAGCCUGAGAAGGCCGCUCAGAGUCUAGACUCAGUGUAACAUUUCAUUUCAACUGAAAAAAAGUUACAUGUCACAGCUGACUGAUGCCGAUAAUUACGAUACUGUACGGAGGGAAAGUAGAGUAUUUACAAAAAUAAUAAUUUGUGUAAAGGUAAAGAGGGCCUGCGACUUUUUUCUUUUACUUCCAGAGAAAAUCUGGAGCUUCAUAAUUGAUAAAACCACUGAAUCCAAUGCGUACUAGUCAGUGGAAAAUAUGCAUAUCUUUUUCAAGUUCUCCCCCCAUUCAUAAUGUAUUCAAUAUAUUUAAAUUGUAGGCAUGCAUUGUAAAAUCUAAUAAUAAUUUUCCCAACACGCCCUUAUUUAUUUGCUCUCUAUCAUAUGCCUUUGUUUAACACCACACAUACAAAUUAUACUCUUUCAUAUUUCGAAAGCAAUUAGCGUACCUAUGUCAUAUCCACUCAUAAAUUUCUCACUUUUUAUCGCCUUGUUACAUUAAUGGACAAAGGAGUAGUAUUGUGUAUCUGAGUUACAUUUAUCACUAGCAUGCUCACUUCGAUUUGAUUUUCAGAAAGUAGUAAGAUCCAAUGCCUUUUCAGAUCUGGGGAUCUGGGAGGAGGUUUGUCCUCAAUUUAGCGUCAACUUGCGUUAGUCCCAAUCGAAUGGU
rnacentral:lncRNA from 1 species